CUGUAUUUAAAUCAAAUUGGUUCUCUUCUUCUUCUUCUUUUGGUAUACAAUAGUCUAUCGAAUUCGUUGAUUACAUACUGUUGGCAUACGUGGACUAGUCUAUUUACAAAACUUUUACCCCAAUUUACACAAAAUGUAUGUUUCUUUCUUAUGUUCAAUGUAUACAUGUAUAUAAUUUAAAUUGCGCUAUAGUUCCGUAACUUUCUAUCCAGGCGUAUAAA
rnacentral:lncRNA from 1 species